rnacentral:rRNA from 1 species
UGGGGGAUAUUGCACAAUGGGCGAAAGCCGGAUGCAGCGCGGCCGCGGGGGGGAUGAAGGCUUUCGGGUUGUAAACCUCUUUCGCUAUCGACCAAGGCCCGCUUGGGGGGGGUUGGGGGUGGGUGGAGAAGAAGCGCCGGCUAACUAGGUGCCAGCAGCCGCGGUAAUACGUAGGGCGCGGGCGUUGUCCGGAAUUAUUGGGCGUAAAGGGCUUGUAGGCGGCUUGUUGCGCCUGCUGUGAAAACGCGGGGCUUAACUUCGCGCGUGCAGUGGGUACGGGCAGGCUUGAGUGUGGUAGGGGUGACUGGAAUUCCAGGUGUAGCGGUGGAAUGCGCAGAUAUCUGGAGGAACACCGAUGGCGAAGGCAGGUCACUGGGCCAUUACUGACGCUGAGGAGCGAAAGCAUGGGUAGCGAACAGG